rnacentral:misc_RNA from 1 species
CUUCAAGAAGAUGAAGGAAACUGGGCUCAUCCCUAAUGCUGUAGCCAUGCUUGAUGGGCUUUGCAAAGAUGGCCUCGUCCAGGAAGCCAUGAAAUUGUUUGGCUUGAUGCGCGAGAAGGGUACCAUGCCGGAUGUUGUUGUUUACACAGCAGUUGUUGAUGGCUUCUGCAAAGCCCACAAGCUCGAUGAUGCCAAGAGGAUUUUCAGGAAAAUGCUUGAUAAUGGCAUAGCUCCUAAUGCUUUCAGUUACAUAGUCUUGAUUCAGGGAUUGUAUAAAUGUAAGCUGCUUGAUGAUGCUGUUGAUUUCUCCUUCCAAAUGUUGGACGCUGGUCAUUCUCCCAAUGUCACUACCUUUGUGGGUUUGGUUGAUGGGUUAUGUAGAGAGAAGGGCGUUGAAGAAGCCCAGAGGGUUAUUGCUGCUUUGCGGCAAAAGGGAUUUUUCCUUAAUGACAAAGCUAUAAGAGAGUUCUUGGAUAAAAAUGCACCAUUAUCUUCUUCACUUUGGGAGGCUAUAUUUGGCAAGAAACCCUCGCCAAAACCCUUUUGAUUCCCAUUCUCUUGUUCAUCUAGUACUAGUACACCUUGUAAGUGUUUUAUGUUCUGCCUUUACUCUGUUUCCUUGUCUUUCUCUCCGAAACUUGCCAC